UGACAGAUAAUCAGAAUUUUUUCCUUCCAAAUCUGAUUAAUUUGUAUUUCAUGCCUGGUAAGCAGGUCAGUUCCACCUGUCCUGCUCUGUUUCAGUCUCAUUCCAACAGAUCUGAUCCUCAUCAGGAUCAAACCUUUCCAUGACACCAUCCCUGCAGCAGGUGUGAGAGAACAGCAGUUUGGGCCAAACAGAACUCCAACAUAUGAGCUAAUCUGUGGAGAGAAAGUUCACGAUGACACCAAUUUUCCAAAGAAAUAAUUUGACCACUAGAUGGAGCAACAAGCCACAUUUUUAGUAACUUAUAGAGUCUAGCCCGAAAUUAUUCGUACCCCUAGCAAACUUUGAUUUAAAGUUACUUUUAUUCAACCAGCAAGUUUCAUUUUGGAUUGGAAAUGACACAGGUGUUCCCCAAAAGAUAAUAAGAUGUUAUACAAGAGGCAUCAUUGUGAAAAUAAAUAUUUCUCAGCUUUCAUUUAUAUUUAAAAAUAACUUUAAGUUAAAAUUUGCUAUGGUAUGAAUAGUUUCGGCCUUGCCUGUAGCCCGUUGCAACAAACAAAGCUGAUGUUUUCAGUAGAAUGAGCAACAAAUUCAGUCUGAACAAGUCACUGAUGAAACAGUAAUAUUAUAUACUCUGUAUUUGUUAUUCUGAGUAGCUUUUUGAUUAAUCUUGUUAUCAGGUGAGACAAGCACACAGUGAAGACAAUGAACACAAAGUUUUUAUUCACGUAAAUGCGUGUGACAGUGCAUGAAUUUGUCUCCAUUAUAAUUCUGUAUAACUAAAGAGUACAAAAAUAUACUUGACUUCUUUUCCAUAGUGGCUUUCAUUGUAGAGUCUGCCAGCUUUGCACCUGACUGGAUGCCUUUGCAGCACUUUUUUCAUUCGACAGCUCUUCAGAUUUCCUAGAGCUCCUCUAAGUUGUACUGUAGAACAUCUUGACCUUUUUGUCAUAACACCAACUGUCCCAUAGCACCUGCAAGCAUCUGAAAGAUGCUCCAUUACCAAAUUCACAACUGUUUCACUGUCUAUUUCUGAGCUAAUCCGGCCAUUAUUAUGCAAAGAUGCACAGGUGCUGUCUUAUCCAUCUGUGCCUGUACAGGUCCCACAGUGUACAAGAAAAGCUCUCUAUUUAGUUGCCUGUAAAGGGUUUAACUCCUGACCAACAUCUCCCUCUGUUGGCUGAAGUCCUUAUCUGUAACGGAAAACAAUUUCAGUCAUUAUUUGCUCAUGACUCAGUUCAUUGUUGGAGGAAGUGACACGGGAAAUUACCGGUUAAAUACAGGAAGAGCAGGUUUUCAGAACACAGUGAUAAUAAGAAGUAAUGCAAAAUAUCGCUGAGGGAAAUCAAUGUUCAGCCCGAGAAAGAUAAUCCUAACAUAACAUUAUUAUCGAUUCUUAAUUAUAACAAUAACAAAACCCAUCUACUGUUGCCUACAGCAGAACAUUCAGUUUUCAGUUUCAGUUUAAAAAAAAAUCGAAACACUUUUCACUUAAUAUCUUUAUGGCCCCAGGAGCCAAUAAAGUUUGUCAAUUUAGUCAUUUGUGUUAUUUAAACAUUCAUACAUUAUUUUUUUUACUGGGGCUAGUUACAUCUCCAGUAUACCCUCCUGCUCUGUGAACACACACACAGACACACACACUUACAAACGGCUCUGCAGCACCUUGAAAUAGUGUAUGAGUCAGCACAAAACGGAAUACAUUUUUAAACCAAAAAGCCUUAUUGAGGCAGAUGGCUGUCUCUUAGCUGGCCUCUCUGCAAACCAGCGCUAGUGCACGGCCUCUGUCACUCAUUCACACACACGCACACACUGAAACCACUGUUCCCUCUAAGCUGCGCGCGUGCACAAUUGCGCACUGCUGACACGGUCUCCGCGCACACAAAAUCUGCGCUGCGCACAAAAAAAAUCCAACCUAAAUUGUAAAUAAAAUAAACACGUAACAAUUCAUUCUGUGCUAUUUUUCAAUGUGAGUCAGUGAGUGACCGGUGACUGGCUGUUGCAGCCAAUGAUGCGAUUCACAUACGUAUUUACCAUAGACUGUAUAUAAUGGUAUUUACGCAGCUAAUCAACGUCAGGCGUCCUUAUGUGCAGCCACUGUUGUUCUCAUAGAUAUGAAUGAAUAGAUAGGACACGCCCCUUUGAGCUGCGUGCUACAGCGAGGCUAAGCUAGUGGGAGCAAAGUUUCAGUGCAUUCCGUUGAUGUAGACAACGUGAAAACGGAAACAAGUAUGCCGGCUCACUGUGCUGCAUACAGUUACACACUACGUCGUACGAUUGAGACAAGGAAACUUGGAAUGACUUUUCACAGGUUUCCCAGAGACUAUGGGUUGAGGAGGAAUUGGAAGUUUGUCGGCUUAGACCUGGUGUCAUUCCAUCAGUGUUAAACUUCCCGGCUCAUCUUGGAAGAGUAUGUGCCAGAAAGACCACGACCAAGCAGCCUUGAGAUCUUAGACAGCGUCUCCCUGAGGUCCCUCUCUAUCUCCCCACACAUCCACCAACCACUGGAACACAUCUCCAAAGUUCUGCCGGGCCAGCUCAGCUUCCCCUCAGAAGAAGUGCCGCCACCUGCCAGAUGAAGGAGCCUUUUGAGAGGCAGCUGACAUCGUAAUUGGACUGUGCUUUGGUCUGUUCCAAUCCAGCUUCAGCUCCAGAGACGGCAGGCGGGACGAGUCAACGGAGGCCGGGUGGACGAAGGCAUGAAGCUGAGUACAAUCCAGAAAACAACAGAGGAGGAGUGCAGCGGCUCAGGGCCAGAACAGAGUAGCAUCGUAUGUCUCUUAGAAAACAUCAUAGUAUAGCCUUUUCUAUGAAAAAACGCCAUCAUAUGCAUCGUAUAUUGUACAAAUAAGUCAAAGGAAAGAGACAUACAUUGUAGAAUUGUAGUAAUUGUGGGCUGACUGAUUUACUGAUUAUCAGUAUUUUAUUUUUUACUGAUUUACGGUAAUAAAUACAUUUAAAAAUGGUGCUACUUUGGCUCUGAACCUUGAUCUACCUGUGGUCGCUCUGUCUUCUGGAGUGAUUUGAUUGGUUAUACGUAACGAAUAAAACUCCUUUAACUUAACAUCUCUAAACAAAACAAAAACGUAUCAACAAAGUUUUCUGUUAGAGUUUGUGUUCUUCUAAGUUUAACUCCAAGAUUUUAAAUACUUUCAUUUACUGCAAAUGAAUAUCUACUCCAAAUGUCUCACUAAUAAUCAUUAUCAGCCUUAAAAAACCACAAAACACCCCUCUAUACUCGACCACACUUAGUACAGUCCGGUUCCCCCUUCUAUAAAUCUGCUUGGAAUCGUCCACUUCCUGUUUGUCAAAGUGGCCUUCUACCUGGACAGGUUUUGUUGGAGCUCAUGCAACAAACAUUUUAGGUAACUGCACUUUAAUAUGGAUGGAUGACACUGAAUUAGAGUCUGUUUUAAUGAGACUGAGUUAAGAUGUGUAGCUCUGUCAUUAAAUAGUAAAUUAUUUCUCAGAAUUCACAGAGAAAAGUCUGAAAUGUUUGCUAGGUUAGCGUCCCACAUGUU